UGCUUAGUACGGCGAGUGAAGCGGCAAAAGCUCAAAUUUGAAAUCUGGUACCUUCGGUGCCCGAGUUGUAAUUUGGAGAGGGCAACUUUGGGGCCGUUCCUUGUCUAUGUUCCUUGGAACAGGACGUCAUAGAGGGUGAGAAUCCCGUGUGGCGAGGAGUGCGGUUCUUUGUAAAGUGCCUUCGAAGAGUCGAGUUGUUUGGGAAUGCAGCUCUAAGUGGGUGGUAAAUUCCAUCUAAAGCUAAAUAUUGGCGAGAGACCGAUAGCGAACAAGUACAGUGAUGGAAAGAUGAAAAGAACUUUGAAAAGAGAGUGAAAAAGUACGUGAAAUUGUUGAAAGGGAAGGGCAUUUGAUCAGACAUGGUGUUUUGUGCCCUCUGCUCCUUGUGGGUAGGGGAAUCUCGCAUUUCACUGGGCCAGCAUCAGUUUUGGUGGCAGGAUAAAUCCAUAGGAAUGUAGCUUGCCUCGGUAAGUAUUAUAGCCUGUGGGAAUACUGCCAGCUGGGACUGAGGACUGCGACGUAAGUCAAGGAUGCUGGCAUAAUGGUUAGAUGCCGCCCGUCUUGUAAAAAG
rnacentral:rRNA from 1 species